CGCUGGCGGCGUGGAUAAGACAUGCAAGUUGAACGGUUGAUACAGGGUAGCAAUAUUCUGUGUUAGCAGUGGCGUAAGGGUGCUUAACACGUGGGUAAUCUGCCGCGAAGUGUGGGAUAACUCGCUGAAAGGCGAGCUAAUACCGCAUGUGAUUUUCUUGAGGCAUCUCAGGGAAUUCAAACAUGGGUUGCAAGACCUGUGGUUUCGCGAUGAGCCCGCGGCCUAUCAGCUAGUUGGCGGGGUAAAGGCCCACCAAGGCUAAGACGGGUAGCUGGUCUGAGAGGACGACCAGCCACACUGGAACUGAGACACGGUCCAGACACCUACGGGUGGCAGCAGUCGAGAAUUUUUCACAAUGGGGGAAACCCUGAUGGAGCGACGCCGCGUGGGGGAUGAAGGGCUUCGGUUCGUAAACCCCUGUCAUUGGCGAACAAGUGUUACGUUAUAAUACAGCGUGACUUGAUAGUAGCCGAAGAGGAAGGGACGGCUAACUCUGUGCCAGCAGCCGCGGUAAUACAGAGGUCCCGAGCGUUGUUCGGAUUCACUGGGCGUAAAGGGUGCGUAGGUGGUUGGUUAAGUUUGAGGUGAAAGCUCCGAGCUCAACUCGGAAAAUGCCUUGAAGACUAUCUGACUAGAGGAUUGGAGGGGAGAUUGGAAUUCUCGGUGUAGCAGUGAAAUGCGUAGAUAUCGAGAGGAACACCAGUGGCGAAGGCGAAUCUCUGGACAAUUCCUGACACUGAGGCACGAAAGCCAAGGGAGCAAACGGGAUUAGAUACCCCGGUAGUCUUGGCUGUAAACGGUGCGCACUUGCUGUGAGCGGAUUCGACCCCGCUCGUGGCGUAGUUAACACGAUAAGUGCGCCGCCUGGGAAGUACGGUCGCAAGAUAA
rnacentral:rRNA from 1 species